GAAACCUUCCAUGGUGGUUGAACCUGCCCUAUCUCAUUUGAUCUGUGAAGGUAAGCAGGGUCCAGCCUGGUUAGUACUUGAAUGGGAGACUGUACAUAAAUUUUUAAUCUUGUUCAAAGGAUUCU
ensembl:rRNA 5S_rRNA 5S ribosomal RNA